rnacentral:sRNA from 1 species
GAACUGCCGAAGACAGUAGGUGCCAUCUGGCGUAAGGAUUUAUCCGCCUACCGAGGAAAGAUAUCGUUAAAUAUUUUAACAAUAUACUCUCAGGUCUUAGGGCUCUGAGAGUUUUUUAUAUC